CUCUCAGAUCUCUAGUAAACACUAGUCCUUGUCUCUUGAGCUCUCCCGCUCUUGCAUACCUGCCCCGGAGCUAUCAGCAUGAUCACAGGCUUCAUCCUCCAGCAUCUGAUGUUGGCUCACCCCAGGCGAGAGCAGUGACAUGGAUGCAGGUCCAUCAACAUGCUUGCAGAGUACAAGGCCGGGUCUUGCCUUUCAAAUAUUGGGGGCCAGCCACCCGCUGAGAGCUGAGCAGUAGGAGCACAGCAUGAGAAAGCAUGGCACCACGAUGGAUUAACUCUGUGAAUUCCAGAGUCUGAGCGAGGGAUCAAUGCAAGACUAAGAAAUGUAUUUGCUGAAAAGCAGUGUCCUGUGACAGCAACCUCUGCUCUUCGUCAGACCUGCCUCUUCUGCAUCCCAAGCCCGCCAGCUCUGCUUUGAAGACUCUGUUGAACUGCAAAAUGAUAAACACUUGCACUUACUUGCUUUUCAUCUGCUAAUAUCCUUUCAUUUUCAGAGAGAAUAAAUUUCUUCUUGUAUUGUCAUCUCAUAAUUCAGUAACUGUCUCCUUUUGGCCAG